GGAGUCCGUCCUUCUGCGUGUUUGCCUAUAACCAUUGAUGUGGGUACAAACAAUGAGAAAUUGCUCAAGGAUGAAUUCUACAUUGGACUCAGACAAAGAAGGGCAACUGGCCAGGAAUACGCUGAACUUCUACAUGAAUUCAUGACUGCUGUAAAGCAGAACUAUGGAGAAAAAGUCCUAAUACAGUUUGAAGAUUUUGCUAACCACAAUGCUUUUGAGC
rnacentral:misc_RNA from 1 species